rnacentral:rRNA from 1 species
GGCGUGCCUAACACAUGCAAGUACGAACGGGAACCCUUGGAUUCGUCUGGGGGGGAGAGUGGCGGACGGGUGAGUAACACGUAGGUGAUCUGCCCCAAAGCGGGGAAUAACCAUUGGAAACGGUGGCUAAUACCCCAUGUGCUCGGGAGUUCAGUCUGUCGAGUAAAGCUCCGGCGCUUUGGGAUGAGCCUGCGGCCCAUCAGGUAGUUGGUAGGGUAAUGGCCUACCAAGCCAAUGACGGGUAGGGGGCGUGAGAGCGUGAUCCCCCACACUGGCACUGAGACACGGGCCAGACUCCUACGGGAGGCAGCAGUGAGGAAUAUUGCCCAAUGGACGAAAGUCUGAGGCAGCAACGCCGCGUGAGCGAUGAAGGCCUUCGGGUUGUAAAGCUCUUUUCUGGGGGACGAGGAAGGACGGUACCUCAGGAAUAAGUCACGGCUAACUACGUGCCAGCAGCCGCGGUAAUACGUAGGUGGCGAGCGUUAUCCGGAUUUACUGGGCGUAAAGCGCGUGUAGGCGGUUUCGUAAGUCGGAUGUGAAAGCUCCUGGCUCACUGGGAGAGGCCAUUCGAUACUGCGGGACUUG